GAUGAACGCUGGCGGCGUGCCUAAUACAUGCAAGUCGAGCGAACAGACGAGGAGCUUGCUCCUCUGACGUUAGCGGCGGACGGGUGAGUAACACGUGGAUAACCUACCUAUAAGACUGGGAUAACUUCGGGAAACCGGAGCUAAUACCGGAUAAUAUAUUGAACCGCAUGGUUCAAUAGUGAAAGACGGUUUUGCUGUCACUUAUAGAUGGAUCCGCGCCGCAUUAGCUAGUUGGUAAGGUAACGGCUUACCAAGGCGACGAUGCGUAGCCGACCUGAGAGGGUGAUCGGCUACACUGGAACUGAGACACGGUCCAGACUCCUACGGGAGGCAGCAGUAGGGAAUCUUCCGCAAAGGGCGAAAGCCUGACGGAGCAACGCCGCGUGAGUGAUGAAGGUCUUCGGAUCGUAAAACUCUGUUAUUAGGGAAGAACAAAUGUGUAAGUAACUAUGCACGUCUUGACGGUACCUAAUCAGAAAGCCACGGCUAACUACGUG
rnacentral:rRNA from 1 species